UAUUGUUGUAUUAGGAAAUAAUAUUGUAAUAUAUUUACUUUCCUGUAUUGUUCUAGGUCAAAUCCCACCUAAAGUGGAUCACAGCUUCUAAGCCUUAGAAAUAGGAAUUGUAAUGUAUAUAUAACCAGGUCUGUAGACUUUUAUCAAUACAACGAAAAUAUUCAGCCAAUCCCUUAUUUCUUGAGAUGGUAUCAGAGCAUCCUGG
rnacentral:lncRNA from 1 species